ACUCCUACGGGAGGCAGCAGUGGGGAAUAUUGCACAAUGGGCGAAAGCCUGAUGCAGCCAUGCCGCGUGUGUGAAGAAGGCCUCGGUUGUAAAGACACUUCUAGCGAGGAGGAAGGUUAGACGGUUAAGUAACCGUCAGCUGUGACGUUACUCGCAGAAGAAGACACCGGCUAACUCCGUGCCAGCAGCCGCGGUAAUACGGAGGUGCGAGCGUAAUCGGAAUUACUGGCGUAAGCGCAUGCAGGCGGCCAAGUCAGUCAGAUGUGAAAGCCCGGGCUUAACCUGGGAAUUGCAUUUGAAACUGCUUGGCUAGAGUCCUUGAGAGGGGGUAGGAAUUUCAGGUGUAGCGGUGAAAUGCGUAGAGAUCUGAAGGAAUACCAGUGGCGAAGGCGGCCCCCUGGCAAGAGACUGACGCUCAGAUGCGAAAGCGUGGGGAGCAAACAGGAUUAGAUACCCUGGUA
rnacentral:rRNA from 1 species